UGGUGAAAAUGCAUCCCGGAAGUAAGUGGAGAGCUAUGGCUGGUAGAGCCCAAAUACAGCCUGGCCCUGCUGUGGUGGCUGCAUCACAUAUGGAGAUUACCAGAAGACAACAAUGAGCUGAACUUUUCUCAUGCAACGCAGAGCCCACAUCAAGCAACUGUAAAGAACACAAUGGAUUUGGCACCGUAUGUAGACACUUCAUUUCCAGUGCAACUUUAACUGAGUCCAGAAGCAGAUAAAUGGCCAAGGCAGCGGGUGAAAGUUCAGAAGAAUCUGCUCCAAUUUGCUGUUCAUGCCUGAAGAAAUCUGACAGCAGUAUUCUCUGGGCAAACUCCAGCCAGCUUUACCUCAGGACUCUCAAACUCUUGGGGAAUGGGGCUCAUUAUUAUUUUUUUGACUUAAUUAUUUGCUCACUACAAAGCAACUUAGAAAAAUUAACAGCCCAAAGAAUUUACAUAGAAACAAAGAGAAGACCUUGCAGUAAAACCAUUUACAGUGACCCAUAAACUUGUCAUGACUAAAGUCUUUGAGGGCAGAAAUUGGAAAGUGCUAGAAGAUUCUGGAAGAUUCUAUAAGGUUCAUUUCUGAGGCAAAUAUUGUUUUGACUAUCUCAAGGUCACGCCA